rnacentral:hammerhead_ribozyme from 1 species
AUCCAGCUGACGAGUCCCAAACAGUACGAAACGCGCGUCCUGGCU